AAACUACAAGGGGAGCCGAAGCUCCCCCAGAAGUAGUUGCGUGCUCUUUUUUAUUAUGGUCGCGGGCUUUUUGUUUUUGUUGAUCGCCCUGUGUCACAAGUUUUUACCCUUGUGACGUCUCCCAAUCGGGAGUCAAGAGCAAACGGAUUGCUUUGGUCGCUGUGUUGUCAUGAUCCGAGGAUCUAACCAGUUCAGGCUCUGCUUUGAGUGCAGUU
rnacentral:misc_RNA from 2 species